rnacentral:lncRNA from 10 species
AAAAUAAAAAUAAAAAAGUAUUCUAUAGUAAAAUAUUAGUGGAUGUUCAAAAAAAGCUGAUAAAGGUAAUUCUACUUUGUCCUCUGAUGUACACACACACACACACACACACACACACACACACACCUGUCUCCCUUUUUAACAUGAUAGAAGGUAUCUUUUGCUGAUUCUUCUAGGCUACCUCCUCCAACUAAUGCUUCAGACAUGUAAGCACUACAAGAACCUUACCAUCUCCUACUCCUAGAUCAGUCCCUGACUCCACCUGAUGAAGGAGGACAUACACUCCCAGGGGAGCCUUGGGGUCUGGAGAAGUCUGCACCCUGGCUGGGAACAUUUACAUCUCAACCUGUCUUGAAGGUGUCUUCGUGGUCUUUUUCAAAGAGGUGGAGAACAGGGCACUGACAAGGUGGGCGCCAGUGACCCAAACACCCAGGAGGUACUCCUUAUUCUACACCACCAAAGUAAAAGAUGUAAAAAAGGAGGCAUGGCAGGACAAAGCCACUUGCUCAAGGUCUCAUGGAAAGAAUGUACAGCUGGAAUCAGUCCUUUCAAUUUCAAGCCCUAUUUUGCUUUUCCACUGUGCCAUUCCCAAAGCCAUCAGAGGAGGAUGUAAUGUAGGCCCAGACCCCUAAUCUGUCUAUGUGUGAAGAAGAGUUUCUUCAACUCUCAAAUAUGUAUGCAUCCUCAGUGUCAGCACUGAGUAUGUGCUCCUCACAUCCAAAGAUCCCAACACCAAUCACUGGCAUAUAAAAGUACCCUUCGAGACACUGUCUAGUGGUGAUACCAUAGCUGCAUAAAGCUGUCCAUAACUGUUUGAUCAAAGAUCUUGGCAGUAGAUUAGCCAGACAGAGAGUGGGGUGCCGUCUACUGCCAUGAUACGCAGAAGGGCUCUGCAAUUAGCUCAGGGGGCCUCAGCUUGGAUGUAUAAUAUCCCUACUUGUCCCUGGUUAAAUAUUUUGCACAGCAGGCUUUGAAAGUCAGUGCAACCUAGGGACAUGACCAGAGGAAAAUAAACACAAAUAGUGCACCACUAGCCAUCAAAAAGAAUGUCAUAAAAGGGAUUUGGUAGUCAAAAGUGAACAGCAAAUAGAGAGAAGAGAUUAGCCUGGCUUCUCAGGAGGCUCUGGAUUCAGAUUGCCUGGGCCACAGUUGUGCCUCUGCUGCUAUUUUAAAUGGAUUUCCUGGGAAUCAGACUCUGAUACAAACAUGAUUGCACUGAGUUAUUGGGGUGUGCUCUUAAAAUCUGUAGAGGAGUGAAGGAGUACAGUGAGGCUGAAAGAGGAGUUGAAUUCACAGGAUGCAGGCGCAAGAAAGAGUCCCACAGCUUACUCUGGAAUUAGGAUGACCUUCUGAAAUUACCGACGAAGUGGGUGUGCCUGGUCUUCAUUUCCCUAUAGUGACCUGUCAUUUGAUUCAGGCUGUUUCUGGAGAAGGGAACAAUUUGGGCUAAGUGAUCUCUUUCCAGCUAAGAGAUCAACACUUUCAGCAGCUAAGGGAAAGAGUACCCCUGCCUUGAAGGAGGACUCUUGCUGCACAAAAUAUCCUUUAUGGUUGACCACUGAUGCCACUGAGAUCCGAUUGCUUCAAAUAUGUUCUGUGAAUAGCAUCAUUAGGAUUCUGUUUUUCUCUUUUACUAUGGAAAUGGGAAAGACAGUUUUGUGAAACAAACUGUGGCCCCAAAUGUUGCAGCUAAACUAAAAGCUACAACUGAAACUCACCAUAGCUCUCUCUUACUACCUAUUCUCAAUUCUCAGCACCCUCAGCUAGCACUGCUGUUGGUAUCAGGAGCUAACUUGGUAUGGUGGUGUACCUUCAAAAGAUCUGAGUGAUCUGAAUCCUUGGUCAUUCUGCUUUUCUCAGGCCAUGGCCACUGCUCUUGCAUGUUCACUAUCAGAAACAACAAACCAAAAUGACCCAAGUUUAAUAAACCUGCACUUGUACCCCUGAACUUAAAAGUAAAAAAAUUAGCAAGAGACACUCUGGAGGAUGACCUGGAUGCUAAGCAUACUCUUUCCUGUCCCCGUUGCAUAACAGCUAUACUGUCUCAGGCAAAUGACCAGAAUCAGGUACCCUUCCCUUUCCUGCUAGGCACUUGACAUGAGAAGGCCAAAGUAAUGUGGCAAAAACCAUGAUUUGAAGUGUAUUGAGAUACUUUUCUGUUCCGUGGUGAAAGCACUUCUUCCUGGAGACUAGGGUCUGUAAACCUCAAAGUACAGAGUUGUGUGCAUGGGAAGCAUUAAAUUCUCCCAAGGUAUCACCUGGAAUGAUAGUAAAGAGCACCACUCCAAUUUCACUCACUCCUUAAUUUUAAGACUAAUGCACUCUAUGUGUUGAAGACAGCUAUAAAAUAGUUGUUAAUGUCAACCAUCUCCUACUGAAGGUACUCUGUAUCUUCGAUGAUAGUGCUUUGUCUCCACAUAGGCACAUCAGCUGUGCCUUGUAUAGGUAUCCCAACUGCUUCUCAAAGGUAUUGCAUGAGAUAAGACCAAUGGGUCCAUGGUCAUAGUCCAAUUGCCAUAUCUUCUUUAUUGUAAAGAGGGAUUCUUGGGCUGAUGUGACGGUAUGCAGGGCCCUGUGUCAGUGGAUGAAAUUCUCUGUAAUUCUUAAGAUUGUGGUUCCAGUUGAGGCCCUGUGAGCAGCAAAUGCAAAUCCAUAUUCAGUUUAUGUCUUUAUUCUAGUCAAGACAAAUUCUUACUGUUUCCAGAGUGAAAAAUGUCCAAUGUAAUUAACUUGUCAAAAAGUGGCUGACUGGUCUUCUUGAGAGAUAGUCCCAUGCUGGGCACUCAGUAUUGGUUCAGUUCUGCGUGGCUGGAGAGGCCUCAGGAAAUUUACAAUCAUAGCAGAAGAAGCAGCAGGAACUUUCUUUACGAGGCAGCAAGAGAAAGAAGAACGAAGGAGGAAAUGCCAAACACUUAUA